UCUUGGUCAUUUAGAGGAAGUAAAAGUCGUAACAAGGUUUCCGUAGGUGAACCUGCGGAAGGAUCAUUACCUAGAGUUGUGGGCUUUGCCUGCUAUCUCUUACCCAUGUCUUUUGAGUACCUUCGUUUCCUCGGCGGGUCCGCCCGCCGAUUGGACACUUUAAACCAUUUGCAGUUGCAAUCAGCGUCCUGAAAAAACUUAAUAGUUACAACUUUCAACAACGGAUCUCUUGGUUCUGGCAUCGAUGAAGAACGCAGCGAAAUGCGAUAAGUAGUGUGAAUUGCAGAAUUCAGUGAAUCAUCGAUCUUUGAACGCACAUUGCGCCCCUUGGUAUUCCAUGGGGCAUGCCUGUUCGAGCGUCAUUUGUACCUUCAAGCUCUGCUUGGUGUUGGGUGUUUGUCUCGCCUCUGCGCGUAGACUCGCCUCAAAAGAAUUGGCAGCCGGCGUAUUGAUUUCGGAGCGCAGUACAUCUCGCGCUUUGCACUCAGAACGACGACAUCCAAAAGUACAUUUUUUACACUCUUGACCUCGGUCAGGUAGGGAUACCCGCUGAACUUAAGCAUAUCAAUAAGCGGAGGAA
rnacentral:rRNA from 1 species